rnacentral:rRNA from 1 species
ACGGGAGGCAGCAGUGGGGAAUAUUGCACAAUGGGGGAAACCCUGAUGCAGCGACGCCGCGUGAGUGAAGAAGUAUUUCGGUAUGUAAAGCUCUAUCAGCAGGGAAGAAAAUGACGGUACCUGACUAAGAAGCCCCGGCUAACUACGUGCCAGCAGCCGCGGUAAUACGUAGGGAGCAAGCGUUAUCCGGAUUUACUGGGUGUAAAGGGCGUGUAGGCGGGACAUCAAGUCAGAUGUGAAAGCACGAGGCUCAACUUCGUGUCUGCAUUUGAAACUGACGUUCUUGAGUGUUGGAGAGGCUAACGGAACUCCUAGUGUAGCGGUGAAAUGCGUAGAUAUUAGGAAGAACACCAGUGGCGAAGGCGGUUAGCUGGACAAUAACUGACGCUGAGGCGCGAAAGCGUGGGUAGCAAACAGGAUUAGAUACCCUGGUA